CCGAGAGCCGAGGCAGCGCCAUGAGCCAGAAAUGCGACGUGCUCGUGGUCGGGGCCGGCAUCUCAGGUCUGUCGGCAGCCAAAUUGCUGACUGAGUCAGGGCUGAGUGUUGUGGUGUUGGAAGCCCGUGACAGAGUUGGAGGAAGAACUUUCACUGCAAGGAAUAAGCAAGUCCAGUAUGUGGACCUUGGAGGAGCAUAUGUGGGGCCGACACAAAAUCGCAUCCUGCGGUUGUCUAAGGAGCUAGGAAUAGAGACGUAUAAAGUGAAUGAAGUAGAACAUCUUAUUCACCAUGUCAAGGGUAAAAGUUAUCCCUUUAAGGGUGCAUUUCCUACUAUGUGGAACCCUUUUGUCAUCUUAGAUUUCAACAAUCUAUGGAGGACGAUGGAUGAAAUGGGAAAGGAGAUUCCUAAUGAAGCCCCAUGGAAGGCACCACAUGCAGAAGAAUGGGACAAAAUGUCUAUGCAAGAUUUCAUCGACAAAGUUUGUUGGACAAAUGCUAGUAAGAGGUUUGCAACACUGUUUGUGAAUGUGGAUGUCACCUCUGAGCCUCACGAGGUCUCUGCUCUCUGGUUCCUGUGGUACGUGAAGCAGUGCGGGGGGACAGGCAGGAUAUUCUCCACCACCAACGGUGGGCAGGAGAGGAAGUUUGUUGGAGGUUCUGGUCAGAUUAGUGAGAAGUUAAUGGAACGCUUGGGAGGCCGAGUGAAGCUAGAGAAACCUGUAGUCCGCAUUGAUCAAUCAGGUGAAAAUGUCAUUGUGGAGACCUUAGACCAUGAAUCAUACGAGGCCAAGUAUGUUGUUAGUGCCAUUCCCCCAGUUCUUAAUUUGAAGAUUCAUUUCAACCCACCAUUACCACCAAUGAGAAACCAGCUCAUCAGCCGGGUUCCCAUGGGCUCAGUCAUCAAAUGCAUGGUAUACUACAAAGAACCUUUCUGGAGGAAAAAGGACUACUGUGGUACCAUGCUCAUUGAAGAUGAGGAAGCUGUCAUUGGAAUGACACUUGAUGAUACCAAACCCAAUUGCAGUGUUCCUGCCAUAAUGGGUUUUAUUCUCGCUCGGAAGUGUAGAAGACUGACACAUCUCACAAAGGAAGAAAGGAAGAAGAGGAUCUGCGAGCUCUAUGCGAAGGUUUUGGGAUCAGAGGAAGCCUUACAUCCAGUGCAUUAUGAAGAGAAGAACUGGUGUGAGGAGCAGUAUUCUGGCGGGUGCUACACAGCUUACUUCCCACCAGGGAUAAUGACACAGUUCGGAAGGAUCAUUCGCCAGCCAGUGGGUAGAAUCUACUUUGCUGGCACAGAGACAGCUACAGAAUGGAGUGGGUACAUGGAGGGGGCUGUGCAGGCUGGAGAGAGAGCAGCUAGAGAGAUACUGUGUUCUAUGGGGAAAAUCUCAGAAGGUGAAAUUUGGAAGUCAGAACCAGAAUCAGUUGAUGUCCCAGCCCGGCCAAUCACUACUACCUUUUGGGAGAGGAACUUGCCGUCUGUACCAGGACUGCUAAGGCUGGUUGGAUUUUCCACUUUCUUCACUUCAGUGGCUGCUGUUGGGCUGUUUGCCUACAAAAAGGGGCUGCUAGUUCGAAACUGAGAAAGGUGCCAGCAUAAAGCUGCAUACUUGUGUUCUUUUUCCAAAGUUUGUUUUGACGUGCACUUAUCUGUCUUCAAAAGCAGAUCAGGACUGGUAAUGGGGGUGGGGGAAAGUAGAGAUGCACCUUUAGAGUGAGGAUGAGUGGAGGGGUUCGGAUAAGGUAAGGACCCCCUGAAUAUUGACCUAUUUUUAGCACCAGUUCAGAUAAGGUAAGGACCCCCUGAACGUUGCCCACCACUAUUCUGAGAUGUUCCACUGUGUGUUACUUCACUUUGAGUUUCUAUCCAGGUCUGCAAAUGAAAAUGCCAAAAUACUGUGAGAAAGCUGUUCUUACGAUAUUUUCAGCCUUUUGUACGCUUGUAUCUGACCCAACCUGAACUCUGAACAUUUAAAGGCACGCCCGUCCCUAAUUAUAAGUGGAAUAUUGCCACACUCAAUUUCUGGAGAUCUAAAAGACUUCAGUUGUAGCUUAAAAUAAUUUCUGAAUAAAUGCAAAUUGCAGGUGAGGGUCUUCUGAUAUAUUUUUUCCCAAAAUGCCUCGAGCCCAAACAGCAUUUACAAAAAAAUGUAAGGCUAAAUUUUGAAAUUUUGUUCCAAACUCUGCAAGUGCUCAUGAGUUUGUCAAGAGUAUAAUUCCUCACUUUACAUUUCCAAUCGCAUGUUAUAGACUAUGGACCCAGUGGCACAAGAGGCUAUAAAACUGGCUUAAGUGGCCUCCUGAGGAUUCCCCCUGUCUAGCAGCUCUACAGCACCCUUAUCCCAGCUCGGUUCCAUAAGUCUGCUAUAGGUAGUACCAGGGAUCAAAUUAACCCUCCUGCUGACCCCAGGGAGCCAUGAAGUAACUUUUACAGCACUUACUUUUCUGCACCCUUUUCUAAGCUUUUUGGGGUAGGGGCUCUCUCUCACCUUGUUUGUAGGGUACAGUGGGCCCUAGAUCUCAGCUGGAGCCUACAGGCACUACCAUAAUAAGUAGACUCAUAGACUCAUAGGUCAGAAGGGACCAAUAUAAUCAUCUAGUCUGACCUCCUGCACAAGUAAUAACUUUAUCCAGUGUUGAAAACAGCUUAUCUGGGCCAGAGAAUCUGAGCUAAUGUCUACACAUUUUCCCAACAAUUAGUCCUUGAAAUAUAAAUGGAAAUCUCUAAAUAACAUUUCAAUGUGUAUUUCUUGGAAUUUAUGUUAUGUUGAGGAGUGCACCUGGAACUGCGAGGGUGAUUUCUCUUAAGUUCUUCUGCUCUACAAAAAUAAAAAAAGCCCCUGCUCAGCUUUGCUUCUUGAGUCAUAUCACUCUAAAUUGGACUCUUUUAUAUGCACAAUUUAAUAGAGUUUUCUCCAGCACACCUAUAGUCAUCUAAGAUGUGACCUGCCUCUCAGUCCUCUGUAUUUCACUUAGGAGGAAAGGUUAUUGCGGUUCUGCUGUUUUGAAUAUAAUUUCCAGAAGAAAGGAAUCUUACUACUUUACCUUAGCACCAUCAGUCAUCAUUAUUUUUUGUAAAAAAGAAGACAAGGCAAGAGAAGAGCUUGAAAAUCCUUCCAAAUCACUAUAAAGCUCUGGUGUUAGUGAAAAGUAUCCAAUCCUUGUAUGUACCAAAGGCCCAGAGCAAUGGAAUUCAGUGUAAGUGACAGCAGCAUGGUUUCCCGGGCUGUAUAAUCAUCUUCUUGUCCUUCAGUUCUUUUCUGGACUGUAAUUUCUUCCAAGGAGAAGUAGUUUCUACUUUCUGAGAGUGAGAGCAGCCAAACUGUGCUUGUUAGUCAGCCAUUCUUUGACAAGAUCUUGUCUUAAGCUCUCGGACCUGAGUUUCAGCCUGCUAGCAAAAUGGAGUACAAUUUUUUUCUACCACAUCUCUAGUCAGAUCUAGUUUUCGCCUUUUGUGUACCUUUGAAAACUAUAUUAUUAAAAAAUGUACAAUCCUGUAGUGGGAGUUUUGGAAGUCCUAUGAGCAAAUUCUCUGCUGCUGUAAAUGGACACGGCACUACUGAUAAGAGUGAAACGCUGAGCUACCAACAUUACAAUAUUUUCAAUUGUCCUUUUCUAUUCAACCUUCAGUCAAAGACUUUCUGGCUUUACACUAGUUAAUAUGAAGCUAUUAUUCCAUGCUACAUUGAAUGCCAUUCUAACUAUGCUCCAUAAAGUCUUCUCUUGGUGACAUUUCACACUGCUUGGCUCGCAGUUUUAUGAGGAGAAGUUGUGAAUGAUUAAGCACAAGAUCGUUGCUUGCCCUACAUGCUUGCACAAAGGAAUGAGGGGGCAUCAAAUAUCUUGCACAGGCUACCUGCAUUGCAGCUCUCAAUGCAGAAAGGAGAGCAGCCUCUAAGGAGUCACUACUCCUCCUCCCGCUCAGGUGUGCAGAAUGGGGAUGGGAAAGGUGGAGCCCUGACUAAGCCCCACAGCAAACCAGUCAGCAUAGCUGAGGCAACAUGAAGAGAGGGAAGUAAUCUGUAUGUGGUUAAAGACUGGGGCAGAUUACUUCUCACUGGAGUAAGGGAGGAGCAGGGGACUGAAUUGUGACUUUCAACAUUUGUCCCUAGGGCAGUGCAGCUUGCACAUGGUAGACUGCUAAGCAACAACCUAGUCCUGUGCUAUCACCUCCAAAUCCAUAUGUCUGGUGGGAGACUUCAUGAUCUAGCUAGUUAAGAUUUUGUAGGAUCUUUAAAACAAGCCCCCUGAAAUCAAGAUUCGGAGGACAGCUCAUCAGCAGGGUGUUAACUGUAAAAGGGUCAAUUGCUAAACUAUGCAAAAUGCAGUCAGCUCUUCCACAUCAGUAGGAAUGCAGUACAAGUCCAACAGACGUUCCCAAGAUCUUAGUAACUAUUCAGGGGCUUGAAUCACAAAGAGAUCAAAUGGAGCCCUUAAGCUUAAGCAUGCACUGGUGCUUCUGUCCUCCCUGUUUUGGGGCCUUUGAAACAAUGUACACAAGAAUGAAAAAAAAUUGUUGUCUGUUAUACACAGAGUGUCACAGUUCGGGUCAACUGCACCUCUGUUUCCUCUUAUUGGUUCAGCAAGUGUACCCACUCUUCAGCUUCCUUUCCCCUAGCCAUUGCCUUUCUUGGGUGGAUAGCUGUCUCUCUCUCUCUCCUGACUGGGGUAUUUCCAGGUUGAACAGUUCCCUGCCUUCACAGUGAUAUUCCCAGCAAACAGCAGUCUGCCCAGACAGGCCUGCUUGCUUUCUCUUCAGAGACUAAUAAUACAGUGAUUGCCAACAGCUAGAAGUUACUACACAGCAUGUCCUAUGCAAGUCUCUUUUACUCUUAAGGUAAAAGCACUUCAGAAAAAACACAUUAAAACAAUACAAAUCUCCAUGCAUACUAUAUGAUAUUACCAGAGAUCCUCUCCUCCAAUUGUCUCCAGCAUGAUUUCUAGCAAGUGAGUCCUUUACACCCCUCAAAUGAGUCUCUUUUUUGGGCACAAGUUCACAACAACCUCAGCUCAGAACUAGCACACUCAUGUGGUUGGAGGUCUUUGAAUUGGAGUUUUCAGAAGCAGGUAAUCCAGUAUACAAUUGGUUUCUCUCUCCAGGGCAUAGUUUCAAAAGGAUGGAUUUGAGGUGGGUCUCAUAGACUCAUAGACUUUAAGGUCAGAAGGGACCAUUAUGAUCAUCUAGUCUAACCUCCUGCACAAUGCAGGCCACAGAAUCUCACCCUCCAUUCUACUGCAACAGAGUCUUUUCUUCCUUUACCAGCAUUCCAUCUACCUUACACUCAUGAAGCCCCACAGAUGGCAACCCUCUUCCCAGCAUCAUUGGCCCCAGCACACAAGUUCCAGGGCAUUCUAAUUCAUAGCCAGGGCUCCCUGAAUUGAGGAAGCCUUCCUUUCGGUGCAGAAUACAGGGAGCAUUGCUCCCUCUCCCUACACUCUUCCCUCAGUGCUUCUGUUUGAGAACAAAAUACUCACAAGAGGUUCUGUAGGGCCUUACACACAAACGGGUCCUUGCAUUCUCCUUGCCCCCCAGGUAUUUCCUAGGAAAUCCAUUUAACAUGUAUUGUCCCCGAAAUCCUUUGAAGUUCCUGAUAUAUCUAAGAGAUUACCUUAAUCCCAUUUUCCUGCUAAAAGAGUUCCGUACAACCCACAUUAGUACACAAACAUUUGCAUUUUUAAUAGAAUGAACUCCAGAGCUUAAUUCAGUUACGUUUGUCCAGGACAUUGCCUAAGUGUCACACAGUGUACUUUGCACCAAAUUCUUCUCUCCUUCUCCUUUCAAUGUAAUUGAGAGCACAAUCUAGUCCAGUGCACAUAGAAUUCUAAGAGAUCUAAACUGAUCAGCCAGCUGGAACUAUUUUCAGCCUAUUUGCACUUUUUGCUCCAGUUGACAAUGAUUUAAACUAACUGCAAUUGCACUGCAGUAAAACAUGGAGUGAGGCAAGCAAACAGUGAUCUCAAUCAGCAGCUGGAGCAUAUGUAAGGCAGAGAAAUUGUAUAGUCAGCUUCAUGGAGAUCUUCAAGGCCGGAGUCUGAUGCCCUGGGCUCACAUUCUGCUCGUGGUCCCAUUGAACUACUCAUGGAGUUGUUGUCAUUGUGAAUAAGGGUAUCAGAAUCUGGCUCUUAGAUUUCAUUCUGUGUCUUUGAAUUGGAUGCACCAGACAGAAAGCCUCUUGUGAUAAAAUCCAAGCUGCUGCUACAAGUGUGUGUUCUCACAUCAGCCUUUAAACUAAAUAGGAGAAUUCUUCAGAUGCCAAGUUCUUGAAGUCAGAGGAACAUGGUACAGUAGUAGAUGUGACCUUUCUCACUUUGUCACACAGAGAAGCAGUUUGAUAGGGUACUUCUAAGACCUAUUCUUCUAGACUGAUUUGUAAUCUAUCCCAUUACUCCCCUUCUUUGACCAAUUCAUGUCUCCGGGAAUUGAUGGGGGUGUCAGUCUACCAAAAUGAAAUUAUGUUGGCCUUUGGCUUGAUAGCUUUUGCUGGCUCCUCCUGCUUUAUAUUCUAAUCUUCUUUACCUGGGCACACUGGCCUGGUUUUUCAUUCUUGACAGUCAGACUCCCUGGAAGGCACAGCAGAGAGCAAGUUUGGUUUUUCUUCUUGGCUUUUAACAGCUAGCUAUUCACAAGUCCAUUCUGGCACCCAGUGACUUUUCAGUAUCUCUUAUGCAUUUACUCAGAUCACAGUCUUUCUCUUUCUCCCCACCCUAAAGUUGGCAGUCCUCUCAGGCUCACAGGCAGCUCACUGGAAGAUUUUUUUCCCUAAAAAGGACAGGACUGUAAGAGGAGCUGAGCAAUGUGAGCCGUGCAGACACAGCAAGCUUAAGAGAAAAUUACAUCAAUGAGAGCAGUUUGUUGUAAAUAGCUUCUCUUCAGUGUUAUACAAUCUGAAAGAAGCUAAACCCAGUUGUACUUUGUUAGUAACUGAUGGCUCAGAUUUUUUUUUCCAAAAGGAGUAGUAGGAUACUCAGCAUUUGUGAAAAUCAGACCUCUUACGUAGGGGCCUAAAUACAGACAGACAAGCUUUAUUUUAGGCACCCAUUUUAAAAAAUCUUGGCCUGAUAUUUAUAAGUCUGACCAUGAAAACAUACUUAACACACAGUGUACUGCUACUUUUUUGGAAUAAUAACAGUGCCCUAUUCUUUCCAUCAGUAGAUUUCAAAGUGCUUAACAAAGGUCAGUCUCAGGGCCGAAUGAUUUUGCUGACAAAGGUGUUUGGGGUAUGAGUGUUGGUGCUAUCCUAGAAACAUUUGGAAGGACUGGAUAGGGGAUCUACUAGUGAGGCUCAUACAGGCAAAUAGCUUUUCUUCAUGUCCGAAAGUUAUCCAGCUUUUUCUCAUGCGCUGGCUAGAAAUUUCCCAGUCAAACCAGCUUGUGUUGUGUCUCAUAGAAGCAGAGCAGUCAAGUGAGGGAGAACUGAUUUGAAUAAAAUUAGAACUGGUCUGAACCAUCACCAACACUUCAACCCAGCUCUGACUUUCCAUGAGCAUGAUUAACUUUUUGCAAAGAAUUAUUUUUCACUGCUCUUAAAUUCUUGGUUUCCAUAUAGGGUGAAAAUUGAAAUAAUAAAAGACAACUCUCCUGAUCCUUCUGGCCCAAUCAGAAGUAGAAAGCACUUGAUAUCUCAUGAUAAAACUGGAUUCCAUGAGAUUUCCAUCCCCAUUUUGCAGACUUAUGGUGUUUAGAAUGAUAUGUUUGUAUAAACACUUGAAGUUUUGGAGUUUUUUUUUUUCAUUCUCAAACCUCUCAGGCUUUUGAAAUAUACUAAUUGCCGCUACAAAUUAUUCUUGUUAUGAAUAAGUUGUGUAUCCUAAGAACACUGUGUGAUUAAAGAUAAGUACAGUCAGUUGUCCUUUUUGUUUAUUAAAUAUUUUAUGAAUAAAAUUAAGUGACAUUGUGUAUGUAUGUACAUCAUGAUGUCAUCAAUAAAUUGAUCAGAUGUGGUUACAGAAUCCAUGCCCCUUUGCACACAUGGAAGGAACUUAGCACUAACUUACCUCUUUACACUCAUUCUAACAGACUGUUAAAGGAAAGAAAUUUGAAAAUCAGGUUUGAAAUGGGAUUAUCAGUAUAGUAUUCUUAACUGAUCGAUGUCUAAUGGGAAAUAUGCCCCCACGAAAAAUCCUUCACUGUACUGAUCUAAUCAGAUGUAUUGUAUGAACUGUGAUGUUCAUAAUUUGUAUUCUCACAUAUAUUUUUGAUGAUCUUAAGGUCUGUUUUUAAAAGCAGUGUACUUGUUUGUAUACUGUAUCUAUAACUAUGUAUUAAUGGGACUGGUUUCAAAACAUGAUAUGUAAAUCUGCUCAUGGCAACCACAGUAUUUGGCAGUGAUAAAACUAAAAGCCAAUUAUACAUGUUACUCAACAGCACAGUAAAGUGAACAGUGAGAGAAAGCACAAGAUUUUAGUUCUUUAACUGGUUCAUUACUUCUCAACACAGACCCAGAUUCAAGAAAGCACCCUAUUGAGAAUAGCACUUAAGCAAGUACUUAAGGUUAAGCAAGUGUUUUCCUGAUUUAGGGCCUAAAAGCUGGAGGACAAGCUAGUGACUUUUAUUACAUGAAUCAUGGUAUUUCCUAGAUGGGACAGUGAUGUUAAUUAAGGCAGAAAUUAUAGAGGUCCAAAAUUCUUACCAUUUUAUUUUCUCAGAUGAAAGCAAAUAUUUACAUGUGAGAAAGAAAGUACUGUAAACCUCCACCAAAUGUUGGUGCUCAAAAGGAAAUUGGAAAGAAAUCACAGCAGAAGUGCCAGUACCUCUAAGCAACAACGAACAGUGCAGUUCAAAUGUAGAUUAGAGUGCUCACAAAAUAGACUCUGCCUGUGGUUAGAGAGAGUAGCAUUCCCUCUAGCAUCUCCACCUCAAGACCAUCUUGAUUCUGCAACCCUCCCUCUGAUGAAGCUAAAAGUAAAAUAGCCAAAGUAAUUUUGUUUUCAGAGUAUCCCCACAGUCAAAUCGUUUUCACAGCUUAUAGUUUGUCUCCUGUGGUCACAUGCAGGACAGCGUCAGUUGUGUCUGUCUCAGUGGUCUGAAAAUAAAAAUGACUUCCCUUUGCAGGAAUAUGGAUCCUGUGCGCGUGAUUCAUUUGUGCCUUAACUAAUGGUAGAAUUUUCUAAAGUGCCUCUGUGUUGGCUGUCUCACUUGGUUCCCUUCUUACGUUCUGCUUUCAACAGGCUUGUCAGAUAUUUUUAUCUAUCAGCUGUGAACCUUUCUUUUUAAACAUAAUCU